AGAAUGGAUCCGAGGAGGGGCAGAUGAGGAUGUACGCAUUUCUGUAUUUUUGUGUUUAACACACUAAAGAAUUUAGAAGCAUAAAUUAUGUGUAAGACUUUGUGGACUUCCUACGAGAACAAAAAUUAUUAACUUCUAUUGUUGUCAAGAAAUAUGAUAUUAUCAGUUAUUUAAUAAUGAUCAUUUUUUGAGACGGUGCUAACUUUCUGUGGAGUGAAAUUAAAAACUCAGUGGACUGCCUUGGCUUGAAUGCUUAUUGACGGGAUUAAUAUUUGUUUCUAAUGAAUCGAUAGUCUCUGGAGCACAUGAAUUUUCUAAGCAUAGUCAUGGAGUUGGGAAUGAGCUGUAGCACCCGGUGUCUCAGUAUCUGCGAGAUAUCAGCAUGCAGCGGUAUGAAAACUUCUUCUUCUUUGGUUCUCUUAUCUCCGUCAGAAUAGUUAAAUUGUUUGAUGGAUUAUUUAGUUCUUUGUAAAUAGAAAACUUCAUGUGUCCGGCGACAAGAAGCAAUAUAAAUUUGUCAGCUGAUGUUUGACAAAAGAUGGCAUCACAACAACAUAAUUACAAAUUGUUGAUACUUUAGGGUGUUACUCGAUGACCUAUUAGUGGCUGAGUAUCUUGCCUCUGUAGAGACAACCUAUGAUGCUUCUCAUGCUGUUCGUUAUGAAGACGCUUUGUCCUGAACCUUUCAGAAACUUAAGAAACACAGGCAAGUGAAAUUUUGAUAGGUGUUGCAGUACCGUGAGGAUCCUGUCAAAGCUUUCGCCAUGCGAAACCAAUGGUCAUGAAAGUGGCAGUUGAAGUCGUCUUCAAGCUGGGUCUGUUUCCGCAGACACAGCAUCAGGACAGUUGAGCGGAAUCAUUUGUGAAUCCCACACUGGCAAAGCUUUUUACAAGACUUAUUAUAACUUGUGAUGUCUUAACUCUUGAAGAGCCGUCAUGCUUUGACCACGAACAUAUGUUUUUUCAUUGGGGUGUUCACACUACGUCUUAAUGUAUACUCCAUAAGUCCCUAAAACAAUUUAGUUCGAACCUAAUUUUUGAUUAUACGAAACAAAAAUAAUGAUAUUUUAAAAUGUUGUUUGUUGUCGUGCUACGUUGAAUUAGUAACAGUUGCUGCUCAAACAGCUAAUCAAGACAAUCUUUUUGAUA